rnacentral:lncRNA from 1 species
CUUCAUCAGGUUUCACUCGCUUUCCGCUGCUCUCUCCAGCUCGUCCUUCUCUAAAGAGUCCAUGCUUGAACUUGGGGGUGGGGUGGCGGGCAGAGUGCGGCGCAAGCAUUAGCUUCUCACUGAAAGGGCAGCUGUCCACUGAGUUCACACAGUAACUUGAGUAGGUGUGUUACUUAAUACGCCACGAGAAAAUGCCCACCCCGAGAGUCUAAAAUUGUUCAUUUAAUGGGCCUCCUGCUGCUGCUCGGCCGCCUUCCAAGGGCACACUCAUCUGCUUCCCCUGCAAGCACGACCUUCUGCCAGAGACUCUGGGGGACUGUGGCUGUUGAUCUGCGGUGAGAGGUGACAGGUGGCCUCUCUGCAAUCGUGGGAUGUCAAAAUUGAUAUUAAAAUAUGCUUUCCAAGGGAUGACUGGAGACUAGGCAGAGAAAGAGAGGGUGUUUGGUACUCAGCCUCAUGUUUCGGUGCCUCCGGAGAAGGUGUGCUGGCUCCCAACCAGCUUUCCACACUCAGAGACCUAAAUCCUCUAAAGACUCAUUCUGGGAAGACCUUGGCACGAGGACACGGUGGCUAAGCCCGAGCUGGGCCCUCACAGAGGUUUGUUUAGCAGCGACCCCUCACCCAGCCGUACCUCCUCACCAGCAUUCAGGGGGUGGCUCCAUGAGGAACACAACUACGAUUUUUACAGAAGCUGUUGCCCUUUUUUUCUUUUCUCAAGAAUAACAAGGAACUAUUACAAAUAGCCUAAGACAUGACUUACGUCAGAAGGCAAUAGGCCUUCUUAUUUUUGACCCAAGGCAUAGCAAACUUCACUGAAUGACUAGGAGCUUUUUACAACUCAGCAAAUGGAUUUGUCACCAUCGUGGAACAGUGGAAGGCAGCUAAUUCCUCAGCCCAUCAGAAGUGCUGCUUUGUGAACUUGAAGAACCCGAACAACUUUUUGAUAAAAUCUAUCUCCUCCUAGAGAGAAUGGAUGGGUCAUUUUCAGAAACAUCGUUUUUUGGAGAAAAGCAGAACAGUGUUCUCCUCCUUUCCCAACCAAUAUCAGAGCGUUAAUCACCGACACAAAAUGAACUAAGACCAACAUGGGGUACUCAGCCAACAGCAGGCGCAGCGUUCAUGGUGAAGCAGAAACGGGGAGCAAUGCGUGAAAAUGUGAAGUGGUUCAACGGGGAGUGUGUCCUGCGUGCCCUCGGGGACCUGUGCUGCACUUGUUAAGGAUGGCUGAGGCUCUGAAAUCCUGGCUCACAAAGCACAGACACUUUUUGCCACAAGAAAUCCAAUAAAGGAGAGGAAACUGAAGCAGACACCCUGGAAUCUCCACUUUAGUGCUUUCCAAAGCUCUUAGCCGAAGCAUGGAGAUGGUUUCGAAGCUUGUUCCCCUCUGUAGACAAUACCGUUUAAUCCUCACGAUGACUGGGGGGUGCUAAACCAAGGCAGCGACUACUGUCUCCAUUUUACAGAUGAAGAAACCAAGCCCCAGAGUCACCUGGCUCAUCUGUCCUCUGCUUGACCCCUUCUGAGGAGCUGGAGCUGUGUAGACGUCAGUUAUGAGAGCAGGAACACAACCAGGCAAAUAGCAGGAUGACCUGGCGCACGGAGUAGGUGAGAGAUGAGUGGCCUGGAUCUAAAUGAUCAUCCAAUGGAGGAAAAGACACAACAUAAAGGUUUCCAUUUCUCCAGUCUUCAAAGAGAGAGACAAUUUAUUUUGGGGGGACUACUGUUGUCAGGAUUAAAUGCUAAUGCCUGAAAUCUUUUCAAGCAAAAUGUGCUGUGUCAGCUUCCAAGAAUACACUUGUUUUACAAGUUCAACUUCUUGUUUUUGAAGAAACACAACCUCUGCAGGAGAACCUUUCCAAAAAUUUUUCAUUUUUCCUGACGCCUCAUAAUACUUAAAAGAUUUUUCAACUGAUUAGAGAUUCCCAAAUAAAAGGCACGAC